CUUCUUCAUUCCUAUUAAUAUAUCUUUCUACUUCCAGUCAGAGAAGAACAAAUUUCCUUAAUAAGGAUGAAGCUUCUACUUCUGGCCAUUGGCCUAUGUAUGGCCAAUGUAGUUGACCCUAAAAAAUGGGCCAGUGAAAAUAUUGAGUUCAAACCUGGAUACCAUGAACAGAUACCAUGAAGCUGAGCUCUACUGUUCAUUUCUGAGAUGGAGGAUUUGAGUAUGGAAUAAAAAACUAUGAUUAAUGGGAAGUGGUAUUCCAUUGCAACAGACCAAAGGAGAAAAUGCCAGCUGGACAAAGCAGGUUUCAAAUCUCUUCCUUCAAAGUCAAAGAGAAUGCAGAUAUUGAUACAGUAACCUACACCAAAUCUUGAAAAUAACUAUUUUGUUAUGGACGAUACUGUCAGAACUUCCUAAUUUUAUAUUGUCAAGUUGGGAAGAAUACUGGGGAAUGGAAACUACUUGAGAGAUGUCCCAAAGAUAUCAUAAGCUUUCAGGACGCUGGUAUCCCUUUCUCUUGGCUUCUACAUAUAAGGGUUGGGAAAGAAAAGACUUUGGAGCUUUACUGUACGAAAUUAAAGUGACUAUACAUUAUUUGAUAAUAAACUUCUCUAUCAGACCCUGGUAGACAUGAAUUCCAUGUAGAAGAUGUUGAUCCAGAAGAUUACCUCCUGAUUUCUACAACUAAUCAAUUUGAUGAAAUGCUCUUAGGGGUGGAGCUCUACAGCCGGCAUAAAGAUGGGACCUUGAAUGAAAUGAUAAAAGAUAGAUUUGAGCAAAUAUGUGAAUUAUAUGGGCUCACAAAUGAAAAUAUCAUUAACCUGACCACUACUGAUCGAUGCUUCCUCAAUAAAAAGUAGGAAAAUUAGCAUCAGCCUGUGACAUCUAACUAUGGAUUAUGUCCUAGCAUCAGCAUACCCUUUAGUUCUGAAAUCCAGCUGUAUAAUUGGAAGACAUCUUUGAUUCAAGAAGGAAAGGCUGCAUUUGGUUCCAAGAGCAUUGUUGUACUAGCUUCACAUCUUGUACCUCCCCUUUCUUAUUAUCUGUGUGAUGUUGGAUAAGUUAUUUAACCACUUUUUUUGUGCCAGUUUCCUCAUUUAUAAAAUGGUGAUAAUAAGAACUUUCUCUAUGGGAGUUGCUAAUAAAAAAAUUCAAGUUUA